UGAUGGCAGUUUUCCAUUUUUUGAUUAAAUUCUUCUAUCUGCAAUGUCAUUUCAAGGAAAUCAUACAUGUCGUGGAUAUUUCUCGUUGCUGUCCGAAGGAUUUCCUGCGGAGAUUUCCCAGGUCCUAAACAGAGGAAGUUUGUGUCCAUGACCAUGAUUCUUCACGGUUCCUCCACCAUGACUGUGACCAUGCUGGUGUAAAGUCAAUCCCAUUCUGUGAAAAAGCAAUCGCAUUAAAUCAUUUGGAAGAAUUAUCACUAUUGAAGCAAUCAUGAAGAGCACACAGAGGAUGCUGGCGAUCACUAAUUUUUUCCGUGCUUUUCCAUCAACUUUUUCAUUCCUCUCUCGAUGGCAGUGGUCUUCAUCUAAAAGGUGCGCAGCUCUCAUUAUUACGAACUCUUCAAAAAUUGGGCAACUGAUUGUAAGUUUUAUGCCAUCAAUUCCAUUUUUAUUAUUUUUAUUUAUUUUCCAAUAAUAUCUACUAUUGGAAAAUGGAUCAUAAAAAAACAACAAAAUAGAUGAUUUGAAGUUCCUCUAAAACUUUAUUUCUCGAUAGAUUAUUCAUUUGUCGGGUGUCUCCAACUUUAUACACAUUUAUGUUUGAUCGGAAUGAAAUAUUACAAGGCUGUAGAAACAGCAGUCUGGUUUCUAGUUUCAAAAACGUAAUAAUAUACCUACACAGCGACGGACUUCUCUGAAACUCUGGUCGCGUAUUAUUACCUUCCACAGGGCAACCUUUCGCGAUAGUACAGCAUCCUGAAAGUUUCCCAUGGACACAGAAUAUCACCUUUUUCCCCGAACCACUUGGUUCAUCCAAGUCGUUAUUAUUGGGCGGUAAACUUGUCCCAUAUCCAAAUACAGCAUUAUUUGAAUAUCUGAAAUAAGAAUAAAUUAUUUUCUAUUAAGAAAACGGUUAGACCAAGCUCUAGUUCUAAUGAUCAAUUAACAAUCUACGGAUUCAGAUAAGGAAAGAUCGUUGCAGGAAAGUUAUUGCGGUGUCUUGAAGAGACGUUGACAAAUAAAUCUAAGUAAUGUAGGACAGAUCUUUCAGCUCGUACAAAUCAUUAUCGAGUUUAAUAUUGUUUCUCUUACAAUGAGUAAAUAGAGUCAGAAAAUAAUUACGUUUUGAAAAGCAUAACAACCCCGAGAGUGAUUUUUCUGCGAACCGUUAUUACAGACUGGUCGCGGUAAAAUUUACGCGGUAUUAAAUAAUCUGCAAAUAAACAAAGCCGUUUAUUGAUAAUAGAUAGUUAUAGACGCAACUAUUGAAUAAUCCACAAUUAGACAUCACUACGGUACAAUAAGUUGCAACGAGUUGCUCAAUUUGUCACUAAUUCACUUUUCACGCAGCUAAUAAUACACGCAUGUGGGUAAUCUAUUUUAUGUCAUAAAAUGAAUUCCGUGUAAUGCACAGGAUUAUUGGUUCAUAUUAUCCUACAUUGUACACCAGAAAUCGGUCAUUCUUAUUUUAUUUAUUCUUAAAAAAUGAAUAUGAAACUAGACAUUAAUUUUUUAUCUUCGAGAUUGCUCGAGGCACCGUUUGCGCGUAAAAUUAAUUCGUUAAAGAUAAAAAAAUUAAUUCAAAAUUGUCUCAAGAAAAUUUAAAGUUCCAACAAUACUUCGCGAAUUUUCCACAACUAUGCAUUGGUAAUGAUGAAAUAAAACUUCUCGUAUCAACUUGCAACGUUCUACUGUACAAUAAAUUUUUGCUCGGACAGGUGCGCGAUUUGCGACUAUAGGUAUAUAAUAUGCGUAUCUAUAAAAAACUUUGAUUAAAGUUGAUUCAGAAUAACUUUUUACUCACAGUUUGAUUUUUUCUUCGUCAACCAUAUUCUAGAAAUGAAUUACAGUACUUGACUUGGAUAUUGGAAAUCUGUAUUUAAGGUAUAAUACAGUAUCUCAUAAGUAAAAUAUAUUUGUUGAGGUCUCGCUCGGUGACCGUGUUCUGCUGCACACGUCACUGUUUAAAUAAACAAAGAUGAUUGUCCAUCUUUCCUUCAUCCUACCUACUCGAGAAAUAAACGUUGUUCAACAGA